rnacentral:rRNA from 1 species
UGGGGAAUUUUGGACAAUGGGGCAACCCUGAUCCAGCAAUGCCGCGUGUGUGAAGAAGGCCUUCGGGUUGUAAAGCACUUUUGUCCGGAAAGAAAACGUCGUGGUUAAUACCCGUGGCGGCUGACGGUACCGGAAGAAUAAGCACCGGCUAACUACGUGCCAGCAGCCGCGGUAAUACGUAGGGUGCAAGCGUUAAUCGGAAUUACUGGGCGUAAAGCGUGCGCAGGCGGUCCGCUAAGACAGAUGUGAAAUCCCCGGGCUUAACCUGGGAACUGCAUUUGUGACUGGCGGGCUAGAGUAUGGCAGAGGGGGGUAGAAUUCCACGUGUAGCAGUGAAAUGCGUAGAGAUGUGGAGGAAUACCGAUGGCGAAGGCAGCCCCCUGGGCCAAUACUGACGCUCAUGCACGAAAGCGUGGGGAGCAAACAGGAUUAGAUACCCUGGUAGUCCACGCCCUAAACGAUGUCAACUAGUUGUCGGGUCUUCAUUGACUUGGUAACGUAGCUAA